GAAUGUAGAUGUUGGCCAGUUCAUGGAAACACUGAUGAUACCAGAGACCGAGGCGAAUCUUCACAGACGGCUCUCCAUUUUCAGAGGCUCAAAUGUAAUUGGGCAAACCCACCGAAUGCCAUGUCCUUCCUUGAGAUGCUUACUGCAGCACCUGUGACCUGCUGGUUACAGAGGGAUUGAAUAGGACGGCUGAAUCUACAACACAUGAAAGGAGGAGGCGACUUGAGACACAGCAGUAGGGCUAACAACUGUUUGACUUGGAGCAUGUCACAGGCCCGCGCUGCUCCUCCAAGCAUCCAAGCAGCACCUUUGGAGGAGGCUGGGGCCAGGAGACCAGAGGAAGCAGGGAUGGGCUGAAACCG